GGCGUCGGCGGUCGGGCCUUCCGGGGCUUCGGGAGCUGCGGUUUCCUGGCCCGACUCGCUCGCGGCCGGUGCGCCGCCGGACGAUCCCG
rnacentral:tRNA from 1 species